CUUCAGCCAAGUUCCCCAAGGCCAGAGACGAUGACUUGGAAGAAUCAAGGGGUGGGAAAGCCUGGAUCCUCAAGUUCCCCCCACCCCGCCACCCCAGGAGUUAGAGCUGCCUCACCAGAAACACCUCCAUUGGACUUUCAUAAAGCACAGUCACCUGGAAAUCACACAUUAGAGAUGACAGAGCCACAAUGUGGAAGGAGCCUGGGUCCUUAUAUCACUGCUUAGAGACAAAGAGUCACCAAAAACCAAAAUGAUUAGAAGAAUUCAACUCAGGAGCUCAGGUAUUAACGCUCCUGGGAGACUUGGAGUAGCCAUGCCAAGAAGAUGGACCUGUAUUCACUGAUCAUUGCUCACUCUGCAUUUCACCCUACCUGCACAGAAAAAGCAAUCUAAAUUGUUCAGAUCUGCUAGGAGACCCAACAUUGGGAGAGGGGAGGUGGAAAAGUCCCACUACUGUGCAGAUGAUGUCUUGAAUAUCAUAGCAAAAUGGAUUGUCUACUGGGUUAUCCUCCAAGAAUUUAUGUGGUCGGCAGUAACAAUAACAAUCCCUUUUCUUUGUGUGACACCAGCUUCAGCAGCAGGACCCCUGCAUUUAUUUUACUUGGCCAUUCAGUCUAUUUAAAUAAAGAAAUUUACCCAUUUAA